UACAGGAGGCACCAUGGGGGAAUAUUGGACAAUGGGGGCAAGCCUGAUCCAGCAAUGCCGCGUGUUUGAAGAAGGCCUUAGGGUUGUAAAGCACUUUCAAUUGGGAAGAAAAGUAUAAGGUUAAUAACCAAGAGUCUUGGCGGCAGCAAUACAAGAAGCACCGGCUAACUCCGUGCCAGCAGCCGCGGUAAUACGGAGGGUGCAAGCGUUAAUCGGAAUUACUGGGGGUAAAGAGCACGCAGGCGGUUUGUUAAGUCAGAUGUGAAAGCCCCGGGCUCAACCUGGGAACGGCAUUUGAUACUGGCAAAAUAGAGUAUGGGAGAGAGAAGUGGAAUUCCACAUGUGACGGUGAAAUGCGUAGAGAUGUGGAGGAACAUCAGUGGCGAA
rnacentral:rRNA from 1 species